rnacentral:lncRNA from 1 species
GUGCGUCUUACUACUGGGGAGAAGCUGAAAAAGUCUAAUCCCGUUCAGAACAGGCGAGCUCAGCGCGGUGGAGGAGAGGGCUCUGCUGUAACAGGGAAGGGCUUGGACACACAGCCGGAGCGUCUUGACCGCCCGGCCCUCAGCCCUGGAAGAUCUCCAAGUCCAGGAAAAGAUCUCAGACCUGCCCUGCUCCCAGACAGGAUGAGCAGCACGUUUCCAACAGAGCACACCGUCCUCAUGCAGCGUCAUACACCUGGAAUCUGUUCGUCGAGGAUGAAGACAGGUGUCCGUGACUCAUGUUCAUCUCUGCACACAUUCCUUCGCAAAGAAACAGGGGACUUCAGAGUAAAAUGUACAUCAUUUCUGCGAAUGCAGAUACUUAUGUGGACGACAAAAAGAAGAUUACGUCACCUGAUCAGCCACAGCGGUCGAUUUGACAACACAGGGCUACAAGCGGCCGGUUAUCAGAAAAGCACAACACGGAAGCAGGAUGCUCCUGAAAGCAUGUUACUGGUGUCCGGGAAACCCGAGAUGCUGCAGGGCCGAGUGGUGUCCGGAACCCGUAGGCCCGGGGCUCGCGAUUCGGGAUGCGCGCUGGCCGGGGGGUUCGGGACCAGUGCGGCUCUCCUCACUCCGGACACACCGGCUGGACAGCGGACUGGUCCGGAUAGCCACCGGCCGAGGCGGACAGGAGUCAGACUUUCAGACCAACCUUAACUACAUGUUCCUGCUGGCCUUUUCCCUUAAGUUUCUAGAUUCUCGACACACACACACGUGCCUCGACGUCUUGUUGCCCAACUGUUCAAAACCUUAAAUCAAAUUUCUCAAAAGAUUUAAAAAAAUAAAAUAAAAAUGUAGUUGCCUUCAUUUUUCUUAUAGAUGAAUGAAGUGACACCAUUUUGUAGCGGAGUCUUUUUUUUUUUUACGAGCAAGACAAAAACAAGCUUUCUGAACUCGACACGGGGCACUAUGUAAGCUUAAAACGUGCUGGGUGUUGAUAUUAGAAUUUAAAUCGAUUAAAAAACAAUUGCACAUAAAAGUUUUUUUUAAUGGUAUGCAGUUCCUGUUCCCCCCCAACAAACAGCAACACAUUCUGCUCCUGAAAACCGCCGUGAACGCGCGCAAGCGCACAACACCCACCCUGAAGUAUGGCGCGCGCGCACGCAUUCCACUGAAAUGUACAUAUCUCGUGCACGACAUAAGAAAUCGGAGAUAAAAACAGAAUGGGUUUAAAACCCGUCAGGAAAAAAAAAAUCGUUUUAAUGAUAAAAGAGGGUAUACUAAUAAUACCCUACAAACAAUAAAUGAACUUGAUUUUCCAAUUCCCCCCUUUUCCCCCAUGUAGCCGUGAAUUUAAAUUUUAAUUAAAAAUAAAUAUUUAGAAAGCGCUAUUUCAAGCCUCGCAUCUGCAGG